rnacentral:rRNA from 1 species
UGGGGGACAACAUUCCGAAAGGAAUGCUAAUACCGCAUACGUCCUACGGGAGAAAGCAGGGGAUCUUCGGACCUUGCGCUAAUAGAUGAGCCUAAGUCGGAUUAGCUAGUUGGUGGGGUAAAGGCCUACCAAGGCGACGAUCUGUAGCGGGUCUGAGAGGAUGAUCCGCCACACUGGGACUGAGACACGGCCCAGACUCCUACGGGAGGCAGCAGUGGGGAAUAUUGGACAAUGGGGGGAACCCUGAUCCAGCCAUGCCGCGUGUGUGAAGAAGGCCUUAUGGUUGUAAAGCACUUUAAGCGAGGAGGAGGCUACUGAGACUAAUACUCUUGGAUAGUGGACGUUACUCGCAGAAUAAGCACCGGCUAACUCUGUGCCAGCAGCCGCGGUAAUACAGAGGGUGCGAGCGUUAAUCGGAUUUACUGGGCGUAAAGCGUGCGUAGGCGGCUUUUUAAGUCGGAUGUGAAAUCCCCGAGCUUAACUUGGGAAUUGCAUUCGAUACUGGGAAGCUAGAGUAUGGGAGAGGAUGGUAGAAUUCCAGGU